UUCUUCUGCGGCUGCUCCACCACCGUCUGUCCGUAUGGCCCCUGCGCGUAUGGCCCUUGUCCGUACGCCGGAUCUCCGUAUCUUGGCUGAGGCUGCCCAUAUGCCGGCUGUCUGUAGGGGUCUUGGCCGUAGGGUGGUGCAUUGGAGUAGUAAGGAUCAGGUGGGGGUGCGCCGUAUGGAGUGGCGUAAGCCGGGGAAGCCGCGUAGCCUGCGCCUCUGGUUCCCGCUGGCGGGGGCACGCCGUAAGGGGGUGAGUAGGCAGACCCAGGCGCACGGUAGCGCGGAUCUCUCACAGAGACCUUGACUUCCACCUUGCCAUGAGGGCGGCCAGAGGGGCGGCGGAGCUCGAGAGUGCGGAUGGCCUGGGCGCCGAAGCCGACGUCAUCGACGACGUCGCGGAGGAAGAGGCGAGCGGAGCCGACGACCGGCUUGGUGUCGUCUUCGUCAUCGGCUUUGAGAUGGACAACGUCGAGGUAGAGUGUGGAGUCUUCGAUCCGGGAGGGCACUGGAAUGAGUAGAGUCUCGUUCCAGCAAGGAAAGGUGUCGCCGUCGUUGUCGACUUUGGUGGAGAGCUUGGCCGCAGGAUCCACCCAAACCACGACGUAUGGCUUCAGAGAGCCGUGACGCCAGUUGACGUUCUUCAGAUCUUUGGCGGAGGAGAUAAUCAGCUCUAUCUCGUAGCGACCAGCCAUGGAAGGGGCAAUAAGGGAAAAAUAAUGGAGAAAAUGGUCGGACUGUCGAAUGGUUGCUAGUCGUGGGUCAAGUAUUUAUAGGCUUUAAUGUCCGCUUGUCCUUCGAAAAUCUUGUCCCUUUUACCGUUAUACCCUCCUACCCAUGUUUGAAAAAAAAAAAAAAAACAAAUAAGAAACAACUUCUCUGUAAGUCAAAAGACAACAUUUUUCUAAUUUUAAAAUUAAACUAUUUUUGAACGUUCGGUGAGAGGGUAUUUUGGUAAAAAAAUAUGACAGAGGAGCUCAACUGGGGAAGGGCAUAAUAGGGAAAAGACUAACUAGGGAAAGGGUUUGGGCCCCACGGAUUGCUUUCUCACUAAGCAUCGAGAUUGUCCUGAUGCUCUGUCUUUAUGCGCACUCGAUGGUUGCGGAAUUCUAUUGGUGUAACCGGAUAAUGCCGGUGUCAGAUGUCAAUUGAGAGGAGAUCGGCGUUGUCCACACGAGGAAUAUUCUCGCAUGACAGAGAAAGGUCUCGUAACGAGAUUGGUCCUACGCGGAAUAGACACGGCGUCACUUGGGCCGGACCUUGUCAAUUUUGUAUCUUUUAGGCCCAAAAAGUGGGCCACCAAGGCAGCCCAUGGGCUUGUUGCAAGCCCACUAUUGCCAUCUUUCAUCUACUUCACCAGGAAAAGUUCUUGAUUUCUCUUCCAAGGUGGAACCGUUGAACGUCCAUGAUUAUUUGUCAUGAUUAUAAAGCAAUAAAAAUUUUAAUUUAUUUACUUAUGAUGUUUUUAUUCAAUUUAUAUGAUCAUAAUGUUAUUAAGUCACUUCUUUUGUUAUAUGUUUCUUAAAAUCAUUUGAAAAUUCAAUUUCUAAAGUCUUAAAAAUAAAAUCACUAGUCUAUGGUCCAUGACUACUAAGUUUUUGCAUUUUGUAUAAAAAUUAUUGUCAAUUUUCUAUUUUAAAAACAAAAAGGCAUAAUCAAUUAGAUGAUAUCAUGUAUGUGCCUUCGAAUUUUAUUCAUUUAUACUUGAAUUUGGUUCGUUCUAUAUUCUUGAAUUUAGAAGUCCCAAAAGAUUCUUCCAAUAUAUCAUUUUCGGUCCAAUGGAAGAAUUUUAUUUUUUAUUUGUUCACUUUUAAAAAAUCGCAUUCCAUUCUUACUUGCAAUAGAAACCCAAAAGAUUCUUCCAAUAUAUCAUUUCUGGGUCUAAUGGAAGAAUUUUAUUUUUUAUUUGUUCACUUUUAAAAAAUCGUAUUUCAUUCUUACUUGCCAUAGAAAAUAUGGGAAAUUGGUUAUGGCCUCAACACGCUAUAUCUCCCCUAAAAAUUUAGUUAUUGUUUGGAUAUAUUUCUUGUAUUUUAUAUGUAGAAAUACAUUUUAUAUAAAAAGUAUGAACUUACCUUAUAUCCUUAAAAAAUAUUUUACAAUUAAACUUUGAAAACUAAGAAAGAUCAAAGGGAAACUAUUUUCUCAUGUUAAAAUAAAAAUAAAAUAACUCCGUUAAUUUGAAGAUGGUUCAUGAUCCUUGACAAUGACACCAUUUUCUUGAUUGAUACUUUUGGUUUUAAUAGAAAUUUCUUUAUUUUCAUAGAAAUUUUGGUCAAUAACAACUAAAAAGAAGAUAAGAAUAGUGUGUAAUAUUCAAAUAUCUUCCUUUGACAUCGGCAUAAUUGACUUUUUAUUCAAUUUAUAUGAUUAUAAUGUUAUUAAGUCACUUCUUUUGUUAUAUGUUUCUUAAAAUUAUUUGAAAAUUCAAUUUCUAAAGUCUUAAAAAUAAAAUCACUAGUCUAUGGUCUAUGACUACUAAGUUUUUGCAUUUCGUAUAAAAAUUAUUAUCAAUUUUCUAUUUUAAAAACAAAAAGACACCAUCAAUCAAAUGAUGUCAUGUAUGCGCCUUCGAAUUUUAAUCAUUUAUACUUGAAUUUGAUUUGUUUUAUAUUCUUGAAGUUGGAAGACCCAAAAGAUUCUUCCAAUAUAUCAUUUCCGGGUCUAAUGGUAGAAUUUUAUUUUUUAUUUGUUCAUUUUUAAAAAAUCAUAUUCCAUUCUUACUUGCCAUAGAAAAUAUGGGAAAUUGGUUACCGCCUCAACACGCUACAUCUCCCCUAAAAAUUUAGUUAUUGUUUGGAUAUAUUUCUUGUAUUUUACACGUAGAAAUAACUUUUAUAAUAACUUUGAUAUAAAAAGUAUGAAUAUACCGUAUAUCCUUAAAAAAUAUUUUGUAAUUAAACUUUGAAAACUAAGAAAGAUCAAAGGAAAACUAAUUUCUCAUGUUAAAAUAAAAACAAAAUAACUCUGUUAAUUUGAAGAUAUUUCAUGAUUCUUGACGAUGACACCAUUUUCUUGAUUGAUACUUUUGGUUUUAAUAGAAAUUUCUUUAUUUUCAUAGAAAUUUUGGUCAAUAACAACUAAAGAGAAUAUAAGAAUAGUGUGUAAUAUUCAAAUAUCUUCCUCUAACAUCGGCAUAAUUGACUUUUUAUAGAUUGACUAAAGUUAGCUUUAAAUCCGAUGAAACCUAAAUGUGUCCAUACAUCCAAAUUAUUUAUUCAUCUUAUAAAUUUAGGUUUAGACUUAAUUAGAAUAGAUCAAAUCAAGUUAACUAAUGAUUAAGUGGUGUCUAGAUAUUGGUAGUAUAUUCACAAACAUCUAUUUUAUUUCACCUAAUCCAGACUACACCAAGGAUCUCAUUAAUUAUCUCAAAAUAAACAUCAAAACCCUAAUCUUCCAAUCUAGUCUUAUUGUACUCAUUGCUUCUUCUUGUCCCAAUCCUCCACCAUCAUGCUACACCACCAUAAGAAAGGUUCAUAGCCUCUAAUGGCUAAGUUUUAACACAAUUUUCAUAAGAGAGUAAGAAAUCGACGAUAUUAUUGAAAAGAAAGCAAAAAGUCUCCAAUAUAUGACCGUGAAAAUCCAAAUGUAAAACUACCUUCUCCUUUUAAUUUAAUGAUGAAAUAUAUAUAUAAUCUAACCCUAAAAAGACAUGUGACCUCAAGGAUGAAAAUAUUGGUUUUUAUAGAUAUAUCGACAACUCAAUUUUAUAGAGAUAUAAGAAAAUAUCGAUGAAUAUUUUGACUCAAAAUAUCAAUAGGACAAAAAUCGAUGAAAACUAGUAAACAUGUUGAAAAAAACUCUAAAAAUGAUAUAAUAAACAAUAAUAAAUAUUUUAAAGUUUUUUUAUCAAAGAAAAUGAUAUUAUACAAUAUAAUUUAUCAUAUUUGAUAAUAAUAUCGUAUAUGUCGAUAACAAAUAUGAAUUUUAUAAGUGUACAUUUAUCAUUAAAUUACAUCAAAUAUUAUUCAAUAAUAAUAUUAUAAUAUUUUAUUAUAAUAUGUUUAAUUUUAAAUAUUUAAUAUUAAAUUUAUGAUUCAUUUAAUUCAAUUGUAUUAAAUAAUAUAAAAUAAAUGAUGAUAUAUAUAUAUAUAUAUAUAUAUAUAUAUAUAUAUAUAUAUAUAUAAUUUUUUAAUAUUUAAUUAAUAUAUUAAUGAUAAUUUUUAUAUUUUUGGUAAUUAAUCAAAUGAAAAAUUUUCAUUUAAUUAUAAUUAAUUUGUUCUUUAAAAUAUUCCUUUAAUGUUUUGUUUAUAUGAUAACUUUAUAUAUAUAUAUAUAUAUACUUGGUGCACUAUGUUUAAAAAAGACAUAUAUAUCAUAUGAUUCAAAAAGGUUAAUAGACGAAGCUAUCUCUUUCUCUAAAUUUAUAGAAAUCCUUUCCAAUCAAUCUGAAUUUGAGAUUAGUUUUAUUUUUUUCCCAAUUUAAUUUAAUGAUUUUCUUGGUGUUAAUUCCAGGCAAAUGCUGUGAGGGCAUAUCGUCCUCAGUGGACGUGCAGGAAAAAGGACAUAUACCCACAGUUCUAUGAGGACGCCAAGGUGUACUGCAAUGGUGAACUGGUGAUGACCACUGGUGGGACUCAGAAGGAGUAUGUGGUCGAUGUCUGGUCUGGAAACCACCCCUUCUACCUCGGGAACCGCUCCGCUCUUCUAGUGGACGCUGAUCAAGUCGAGAAGUUCCGGAAGAAGUUUGGGGAAAUAUCACAGAUUAUGGAAAUUCCUGUCCUCAAAUAUGGAGAAAUCGUGCUACCACCUAAACGCAAAUCUGGUUCUGGUAAAGGGGGAAAGAAGAAGUAGUUGCCCAAUUUCACGGUAAAAAGAAAUAGCCUCUGUUUGGUUGCAAGGAAAAAAAUUGGAAGCAAGUUAUGAAUCUUAUCUGUUUAUUUUCUUACUUUUCUCAGCUUCCAAAUAGGGCAAUUAGGGUUUUGGUUUUCUGUUUAUUGGACAGUGUAAUUUGAUUACUUGUUAUAAAUUUUUUAAAGUAAUCCCUAUUUCGUGUUCAGUGGUAUGUCUUAAUUUUUUUUCUUUUUGAUUAUUAUUAAUUUUAAUUGUAUAUUUUAUUAAAUACUUUAAAAUGUCCUAUAGUCCAAAAGAAUAGUUUUGUCUAGAACCAUGUUCACUGAUUGUGAUGCACUAAGUAAAUAUCAGUCAGCUUACUCUGGGAAACCCCAUUGAGAUUCUGCAGUUCCCAGAACAACAAUAAUAUAAGUAAAUAUCGUUCUAUAUUCUUGAACUUAGAAGACCCAAAAGAUUCUUCCAAUAUAUCAUUUCCGGGUCCAGUGGAAGAAUUUUAUUUUUUAUUUGUUCACUUUAAAAAAAUCGCAUUCCAUUCUUGCAAUAGAAACCCAAAAGAUUCUUCCAAUAUAUCAUUUCCGGGUCCAAUGGAAGAAUUUUAUUUUUUAUUUGUUCACUUUUAAAAAAUCGUAUUCCAUUCUUACUUGCCAUAAAAAAUAUGGGAAAUUGGUUAUGGCCUCAACACGCUAUAUCUCCUCUAAAAAUUUAGUUAUUGUUUGGAUAUAUUUCUUGUAUUUUAUAUGUAGAAAUACAUUUUAUAUAAAAAAUAUGAACUUACCUUAUAUCCUUAAAAAAUAUUUUACAAUUAAACUUUGAAAACUAAGAAAGAUCAAAGGGAAACUAUUUUCUCAUGUUAAAAUAAAAAUAAAAUAACUCUGUUAAUUUGAAGAUGGUUCAUGAUCCUUGACAAUGACACCAUUUUCUUGAUUGAUACUUGUAGACCCCCUUGUUGGCAGGGAGAGGGAGGGGGAAAAUAUUAUUUUUUUUAGGAGAGUGGGUGAGAUUGGAAGUGAUGGAGAGGACGGGAAGUAGCGGGAGAUUUGAGGGGGAAGAAAUCUGGAAAAAGAGAAAAGGAAAGGGGGGAAGAUUUUUUUUGAGGGUUUUUGAGGCUGGCGAUUAAGGAUUGGAGGUUUUGGAAAAGAAGAGAUUUUUUCAGAGGAAGAGAGUAGAGGUCCGGAUUUUUAGAAAGAAAAAAACCAAAGCUGAAAGGGGAGAGGGUGAUAUCUGGAGAGGAGAAAAACAAAGAAAAUGGAGAUAGAGACAGUCUGAAGGAGACGGAAAAAAAGCUGUGCUUGGGAGGAGCCUUUCAGGUAAGAUUUUUUUUGUAAACUUCACAUCUCUUUUUCUCUCUUAGGUACAGUCUUCGAUCUUCAUGCUCACUGUGGGGAUGAGGAAUUCGUUGUUUUUUUGUAGAGAGAGAAAAGAAUUGGGCGGCUGGGGGAUUAUAAGACAGUGGGAUGCUUUUUAAAAGUUUUUAAUUCAAAUUGUUUUUUUCUAGCAAGGCAUUUGGGUUCGUGCCUAUUUUUUUACUUUGAGUAAAGCUCUCAAAGCCAUUUAUAUAUAUUUUUUUAUUAUUCCUUUCUUGCAUGGAAAUCAUAACAUGGCAGAAGACUUUUUGGUGGGCUUGAAUAUUUAUGUCCAUUUUUCUUUCUUUUGCUUUUUGGCGAACACGUUUUCACAAAUUGAAUUCUCAAAACAACUUUCAAAAUUUCAGUUUUUUUAAUCACUUCAAUCUUCAAAUUAAUUUUUCAAAAAUUCUAAUAUCCAAAUUUAAUUUCUAAAAUGUCAUCUUAAAAUAAAUCUUUCAAACAAAUUCUGAUUUCCAAAUUCAAUUCCCAAUUUCUGAAAUUCUAAUUUUUCGACUUUCAAAUUUAAUUUUCAAUUUCCAAAAUUUUAAUAUUCACAUUCAUUUAUUUAAUCAUUACUAUUUUUUGUUAUGAUUAUUAUUAUUCUAUUUACUUAUUUAUCUUAAAAUUCCAUUCUUAAACAUUUUUUCUCAAAAUUUCAAUUUUUGAACUUAAUUUUUAAUUCCCAAAAUUCCAAUUCUUAAAUUUAAUUCCCAAAAUUCCAAUUUUCAAAUUUAAUUCCCAAAACUCCAAUUUUCAAAUAAAUUCCAAAAAUCCAAUUUUCACGUGAACAAUUUUAAUUCUAUUCCGGUUCUCAAUUUUUCUUGGUUUUACAUAAGCAUGAAUGUCAUUUUCAUAAUUUCAGAACAAUGGAAUUUGUGAGAUUAAUUCGUGCAAGAUCAAUCGGGCUUUGGUGGGGGCCCCACAUACGUGAUUUUAUGAUUGAUUGAUUUGUUUGUCACGCACAAUUUAUUUAUCCUGCUCUCCGACAUGCAUGCUAUUAUUUCUUAAUUAUGCACUAACCUCUCUCUUGAUAGCGCAUGGUGGCUCGUCGCCCAGGUACGCACUUACUUUCACUCUGGUAAUUGUCCAAGCAUAUUUUGAUUCUCACGUGUGCAUGAUUUAUUCUGGGUACUCAUUGAUCUACUCGUCCACUGCCCUGAUUGUUUCAUUUUAUUAGUAGAGACCCGUUUUUAGGGACUUAAAAGGGUGCUACGGUUUUUACCGUACCUUCCUGAUAAGUAACCUGACCCCCGAACCCGAUCCGGUUUUUUGUAGAUCACCUUUUCCAAAUAAGGAGUCACACUUAGGGUUUUUCUUUCUUAUUUUGUUUACCCUUUUAAAAAUAAAACAAAAAUAAGUGGCGACUCCAAGUCAUUUUUCCUAAUCAAUAAAAUCAAUUUUUCAAAUAAAAGUCGAGCUCGCCAUCGAAUGGGAAACGCAUUGAGCCGAAAUGCGGGGUCCACAAUACUUUUGGUUUUAAUAGAAAUAAAAUUAUAACUCUGUUAUAAGUGUACAUUUAUUAUUAAAUUACAUCAAAUAUUAUUCAACAAUAAUAUUAUGAUAUUUGAUUAUAAUAUGUUUAAUUUUAAAUAUUUAAUAUUAAAUUUAUGAUUCAUUUAAUUCAAUUGUAUUAAAUAAUAUAAAAUAAAUGAUGAUAUAUAUAUAUAUAAUUUUUUAAUAUUUAAUUAAUAUAUUAAUGAUAAUUUUUAUAUUUUUGGUAAUCAAUCAAAUGAAAAAUUUUCAUUUAAUUAUAAUUAAUUUGUUCUUUAAAAUAUUCCUUUAAUGUUUUGUUUAUAUGAUAACUUUAUAUAUAUAUAUAUACUUGGUGCACUAUGUUUAAAAAAGGGUGAGCUUGGCCCAAUGGCUGGAUAAGGCAUCUUUAUGCGUAAUAUUCAUACCUUUACUUAAUCUCAUAUGUCAUAAUUGAGUCAAAUUCUCACAUUUUCUACUUCUUUUUUUUUUUGGGUCUUUUUAUUAAAAAAUAGUGCAUUAGUUCUCAAGUAUUUAUAGCACAAUCAUUAGUAUCUUUACAAAUAUAUAUUUAAUACAACUCAAUUAUUAAUGCAAAAGAGUUGAGAUUAAACCUAGUGGACCUUGAUUAAGUCAAAUAAGAGUACAUAAUUGCCAUAUUUGAAUCCUUAAGAGGUCGAAUCAAAAGAUUAUACAUUAUUUAAUUUAAUAAUAAUAAUAACUAUAAAAAAAUAUUUUAAGAAUAAAAAAACCAAUAUUGAUAAUUAUUAAAAAAGUAAAUUUUGGUCAAGUUAUAAGUUCAAUGCAUAUGUGUCGUGCUAGAGUUUUAUGACAAACAUAACUCGAGGCACCGACCAUGCCAUAUUUAUUUCUAUAUUAAUACAUUAUUAUCAAUGAAUUAAAAUUUAGGUGUGUUCUUAUUGUCAAUGAUUCUUACAAUAAAGCCGACAAGUCUCAUAUACAAAAAUAAGAGGCGUCUUCUAUGGUUGGGUUGUAUGGGGUAUGGGAGAAAAAGGCAAACCAAUGAGAAAAUUUGAAUAUCUUAUAGUUCUAGUUUCCCAAUGAAAAUUGGCGACCUAACCUUCCUCCCUUCCUCCGUCGAGUCCAGCGACCUCUUCUCUUCCUCCGCCACAAAGUCCUGCCUGAUUUGGCAGAUGGGCAUCGAUAAUCGGUUGUGCGCUGGAAAUCAGCACCAUGGAUCAGCAAAGCUUGGCAGACUGUAAACUCAAAAAUCCUUUACAUAUAUAGCUGAGGCAUGUUUGAUCAACUGGCCCAAGGGUGUCUUAUUUCUCAGGUUCCCUUUACCAAUACAGGUCAAAAUCAAGAAGGAUUAGCCCACCUUGACAUUAUAAUGUUGCAUGGAAAAAGUUUCCCGAGAAACCCAAGAAACUUUGAAAGUUCUAGAAUAACGGGUUGAAGAAUCUUAUAAUUCACCAUAUUUUCUUUUUCUUUUUUGGUAUUUUUAAUUAUAUAAAAAAAGAAUAAUAAAUAUCAUAAAAAUAAAUAUUAAUUAUUAAAUUAAGAAAAUCAAAUAUUAUUAAUAUUUUAUUUUUAUUAAGGAAACAAAUAUUAUUUUUUUAUUUAUGAUUUAUGAAAAUAUUGAUUCUACCAUCAUCUACACUAAAGUGCUUAACCCACGACAAUCUCCUCAUUGGCGUGCUCAAAGUUCCUGCAAAUGUUUCUUUACCGAAGAAAUGUGAAGGAAAAUAAAAUAAAAUAAAAUAAAAUCACAUAAAAAAUAUCAUGAAAUCCAUAAUAUACUAUAUUUUAUAAAUAUAAAAAUAAAAUAUGGUUCUUAUAUAUUUCCAAGUCUAUUUCAAUCAAAGUGUUAUUUUAAACAAAAGUUCAAAGGACUAGCAUUGAAAGACAAAAUAUGAAAAACAACCAUCGCUUCUAUUAUGCCUACUUUUAAUAGAAAAAAUGUAAAUGUUUAUGACUUAUUAGGCUCCAAGCCAAUAAUUCAUUAGUCAAGAUCUCAUUUCGAUACAUCAUUUAAGUGUAAUCUCUUACUAAAUAAUUUGUGAGGGUCAUUUAAUUCAACUUUUGUUGAAGCAAGAUAGAAGCCGAUAUUGAAUAUGCUAUGAGACAUAAGGGAUAAGAACAACGAAUGCAAGGAGGACUUGUAAGAAUAAGUGGGAGAUGUUGUUGUGCCCUAAUAUUUAUAAGAUUUUGGAGAAUGAUAAGAUUAAGGCAAAUAGUUGAAUACCUAUUUGGGUUUGUGAUUUAAAGUUUGAAAUCAAUUGCAUAUGUAGUGAUAGAUAUGUUAUUGAUAUUGUCAAUCAAACAUGCAAAUGCAUAAAUGAGACUUAACCGGUAUCCCUUGUUCAUAUGCAAUUUUAACUAUAUUUGUAGAAGAGAAAUAAUAAGUUUUAAGUUAUCUUUAAAAAUUACUAGACUCGUUAAUGAAUCAAACACAUUAACUCUUACUUAAUGUUUAUUUGUUUACUUAAAAAAAUUGUAAAAGUAUGAUAUAUAUAUAUAUAAAAUAAAUUAACCUAGCCAUUUAAAAUAAAUUUUGAUUUAAGACUUUUUCGUGUUUUUGAGUUUUAUGACUUUUUAGUUUAAUUAAAUCAAUUUUUGAGUUUAAAUAUUUUUUAAAAAAUAAUAAAUUUAUUUGUUUAAUAAAAAAUAUUAAAGAAGUUAAAGGAAAUUCAGAAAAGCAAAUCAUAUUUGAAAAUUUUCAAUACUUGUACAGUGCGGAGAGAAAGUGAGAGAACAGUAUAUUCUGUUCAAUUUUAUGAAAAAUAAAACACCAGUCCAACACCUAAACCUCCAUUAGAAACUCCUUAUCCUUCUCCAACCUUUCCAUUGUACCAGCCUCCAACGUUAUCUCAACGUCAAUGCUUCCUCCCCCGGUCUUCCCCUGAUACAAAUACACCAUUCCGUCAAAUUUGUUGUUCGAUCCACUUCUCACCCUCUCCGGCUUCCCAAACCCAAAGUCCACGUCGUACACCUUGAACCUCGGCGAGCUUCCCACCGUAACGCAGUUCACUCCGGCGUCUUUGAACUGGAAUAUUAUUGGGUUGCUCUCCCACUUAUCGUUGCGUUCGUUGAUGGCUUUCGCGUCGUUCGUUACGAUCGCUUUUUGAAUCAUUGCCGCCGCGAACUCCGGCGGGUUUGCGUAGAGGAGUCCGGCUGCGGUGACGGUGAAGAUGGCUUGAAUCAGGUUGCCGAAGUAGGACUCCGGCAUGGGAGGGUCGACCCUCUUGCGGCAGUUGGCGAAGACGGUGUAGACGGUGACGUCCUCGGGUUUGAGUUGGCGAGCGCGUGUCACCGCGAGCCACACGUGCGUGGAGAGCGAUUGGAAGGAGGAGAAGGGUCUGGAGCCGUCAGAUGGGGUUUUGUUGAGCGUUGACUUGACCCGGUUGAUUUGAGAUUCCGAGAAUCGGAAGAUGCGCUCGCGGAGAAGCGGCGGCGGCUCCGACGUGCCGCUUGGAUUGGCGGCUGUGGGGUCGAGGGGGAGGUCGAACUUCACGCGCGUUUUGCGCGCUUUGGUGCGGUCGAGGAACGGUGGGACGGAGAUGGAGUCGGCUCCACUGCAGAUUUCGGCCCACGAGCUCAUGAAGUGCCACGUGGAGGUACCGUCGAGGACAGCGUGGUUGAACGCGCAUCCCAUUGCGAGGCCAUCUCUUAGCUUGGUGAACUGCGGAUCAUGACAGAAAAACAGUUGAAGCAGUUGAAUAACCUGGGACAACAAACUUUGUUCUAGUCCAUCUUUUCAACUAUUGGGAAAUCAUUCCUUUUGUACCAAAGUCAUAUGACCACUUUUAAUAGAAAAUAAAUAAAUAAAUAAAUUGUUACCUGUAGGACGAGGAGGGGUUUAUGAAGACCCUCAAAGUUCAAGACUUGGGUGUGUGGCAGCAUAUCUUUCAUCAUGCUUGUGCUCUCCACAUCCAUUAGAUCAGAGACACUGACAUGAUCAGCACUUGCUUCCAACACUUCUACACCCUCCAUUUCAUCAUCAUACACGACCUUAAAGACCCCAUCUUCAUCCUUCUCUAGCUUCCCAGCCAACUGAUAAAACUCUUCCAAAACUACCCCUAACCCAUCCUUCAAUUUACCCACCAUGUCCUCAAAGUCACACCCCUUGUAGAAUAACAGUUUUUGGUUAUAGUAAAAGGCCAAAUAUGGGAGAUCAAAUGUGACCAAUUGACACUCUCUUCUUCCUAGCUUCUUAGUGGGCAUGAUGUGGGAUUUUCCAUGGACAGCCACCUUCACAACCUCAGCUUCCUCCUUCUUCACAACUUGAUCUACGCAUGGAGUGGCGUAGGCGGACUCAGGCGCACGGUAGCGCGGAUCUCUCACGGAGACCUUAACUUCCACCUUUCCCUGAGGGUGGCCGGAGGGGCGGUGGAGCUCGAGAGUGCGGAUGGCCUGGGCUCCGAAGCCGACUUCGUCGACCACGUGGGGGAG
rnacentral:lncRNA from 1 species